CACGUAGGGUGCGAGCGUUGCCCGGAAUUAUUGGGCGUAAAGAGCUCGUAGGCGGUGUGUCGCGUCGGCCGUGAAAACCUGCAGCUUAACUGUGGGCGUGCGGUCGAUACGGGCAUCACUGGAGUUCGGCAGGGGAGACUGGAAUUCUCGGUGUAGCGGUGAAAUGCGUUGAUAUCGAGAGGAACGCCGGUGGUGAAGACGACCUUCUGGAACGCAACUGACGCUGAGGCACGAAAGCUAGGGGAGCAAACAGG
rnacentral:rRNA from 1 species